rnacentral:rRNA from 1 species
CAGCGCCACGAGUGGCAAUCGUGUAUUUGGCCUAAAGCGUCCGUAGCCGGAUUUGUAAAUCUUUUGUGAAAUCGUUGAGCUCAACUUAACGGCGUGCAGAAGACACUGCGAGUCUUGAGACCGGGAGGAGAUAGAGGUAUUCUAGGGGGAGCGGUAAAAUGCUAUAAUCCCUGGAGGACCACCAGUGGCGAAGGCGUCUAUCCAGAACGGAUCUGACGGUGAGGGACGAAAGCCAGGGGAGCGAACCGGAUUAGAUACCCGAGUAGUCC